GUCUGCAUGCGCAUUUAAUAGACUAGCAAUACAAUUAUCUAUUUAGCUAUUAAAUACUACUUGUCGCUCACAUUUCUGUACUCUUUUGAAAAUUUUGAAUUCUUAAAUCAUGUGUCAACAUACUUUCUUUCUAAUCUAAAUAUGUCAAGGAAUAUUCGGCAGUAAGCAGUUCGGCUUAUAGUGAAUUACAUCCUGUAAAAACGCGCAAACGCAUAGCAAACGGAAAUGUUGGUGGCAAUGUUCCUGAUAAUUGCUUUUCUUCCAUGGUCCCCAGUUGAAGGCUUUAGUAGUAAAGCUGGUUGGGCUGGCACAAAAAUCCCUGGAAGCGAAAAUCUAUACGGUAAAGUCUUUCAAGGAGGUCCUGAUAUAGGAAUUCACUAUUAUUUUAACUCCACCUUCUCUCGGAUCUGUUGCCAAGCCAUUGGGUGCGACUACAAGAAUGGAUGCUAUUUUUCAGAUGUUGGAUGCGGACAAAGUAAGAACGGGGUACCGUUUUCGACAAUAGAUUUACCUUGGGAGGUACGAGGCGUGGAACCAGCAGUCCGAUGUUACGACUCACGUGGUGCCGGUGCAUACUAUAUAUAUGAUGCGAAAGUAUUUCGAAUGGAAACGUGAAGAUAAAGUUAUCGAUUAAUUGUUACCUGUAAUAACUUUUUUUAUUCAGAAGAAAGUAAAUGCAGGAAGAAA